UAUUAAUUACACUAGUCGACCUUCCCAUUACUUAAUUUUAACAUUGCUUAAUUACUUAAAUUAUAUACAUAAAUGUUCACAUAAACAUAAUCAUGUACCUACUCGUUUAAAUAAACUAAGGACUCGUGUAGCAGUCGGUAAAUGAGCGUACCUACGACUGCAAGUGUAGUUAUUCUAUUUCAGGAAUGUUUGACUUUGGCAGUGUUGCCAGUUGGAUCUUAUGAGAAGUUACCCGAAAUGUUAAAAAAAGUAACCUUUUUGUGUAAAAAGUAACCUUUUGACUACUACUACUCUUGCUUUUUGCGUUCCACAGCAUGGCUAAACCACCAUUUCAGCCUCUGGGGGCUAAAUACUAAAUUACUACAAACCGAAGGAGAUUUUACUCGUAAAUAGAAUCAUCUUAAGUAAGGCCCUGAUUGUUUGCCUUUUACUUAUGGGAUAAGAAAAAUACAAUUAAAGAGCAAGGAUUUAAAAAACAAUAGACGUUAAUUUCUUAAAUUCAUACUUGAUUUUUU